GUUCAUUUUUACUUCGAUCUUUACAUUUAUCUCGCUCUUUACAUAUUCUUCGCUGUUUACAAUGACUAGUAAAGGAACUGAAGAGGAAGAGGCGGCUGCACAGUCCUAAAAUUGCGGAGGCAGUCCGUCGGCUACACAACUCUGAGGCAAACUAUUAAGCUCAUCAUAUAAUGAGACGGUCACCUCAUUUUAGUGAAGCACUGUCCAUAAGCCGGGAAUUGCGUGAUGAAGGCC